UAUGUUGUCUUGUGUUUUCCCAUCACUCUCGUCGGAGCGGAAGCAUCGGUGAAGCUGCGGAGCUCUAGCCGCAACAGCAGCGCUCAGGAUCGGCCACACACCGGGCUGACAUGCCGUGGGGAUGAUGGCUGCCUUCGGCAUAUUAAGCUACGAACACAGGCCUCUCAAACGACCCAGACUCGGUCCUCCAGACGUCUAUCCACAGGACCCGAAGCAAAAGGAGGAUGAGUUAACAGCAUUGAACGUCAAACAAGGAUUUAACAACCAGCCAGCCGUUUCAGGCGAUGAACAUGGCAGCGCUAAAAAUGUCAAUUUCAACCCUUCAAAGAUCAGCUCAAACUUCAGCAGCAUCAUUGCAGAGAAGUUACGCUGCAACACAUUUCCAGACACUGGGAAGAGGAAGCCGCAGGUUAACCAGAAGGAUAAUUUCUGGCUCGUCACAGCGAGGUCACAGAGCUCCAUUAAUAAUUGGUUCACGGACUUGGCCGGGACCAAACCCCUUACUCAGCUUGCUAAAAAGGUUCCCAUCUUCAGCAAGAAAGAGGAAGUGUUUGGCUACCUUGCCAAGUACUCUGUGCCGGUGAUGCGAUCUGCUUGGAUGAUUAAAAUGACGUGUGCGUAUCACGCUGCCAUAACUGAAACCAAGGUGAAGAAGAGGCACGUCAUUGACCCCUGCAUAGAAUGGACUCAGAUAAUUACUAAAUACCUGUGGGAGCAGCUGCAGAAGGUGGCAGAGUUUUACAGACAGUCUCCCAGCCAGGGCUGCGGGUCUCCUCUGCCCGCUCCUCCUGCCGAGGUGGAAACUGCGAUGAAACAGUGGGAGUACAACGAGAAACUGGCCAUGUUCAUGUUUCAGGAUGGCAUGUUAGACAGACAUGAGUUUCUCACCUGGGUGCUGGAGUGUUUCGAGAAGAUCAGACCCGGAGAGGACGAGCUCCUGCGACUGCUGCUGCCGCUCCUGUUACAGUACUCGGGAGAGUUUGUGCAGUCAGCCUAUUUAUCUAGACGACUGGCGUAUUUCUGCACACGCCGGCUCAAUUUGCUGCUGAGCGAUGGCAGUCUCGGUCCGGGCCCAGGCGGGCACCCGGCCCACGGCAUUUCAGCACAGCAAGGAAACGCACUACCCCCCACCCCCACCUCCCAGCCUGCAGGGGGCAACCAGCCCCAGACCCCCUUCACAGACUUCUACAUCUGCCCCCAGCACAGGCCUGUGGUGUUUGGACUCAGCUGCAUGUUGCAGAGUAUCGUGUUGUGUUGCCCCAGCGCUCUGGUCUGGCACUACUCUCUGACAGACAGCCGUAAUAAGACCGGCUCCCCGUUAGACCUCUUGCCAAUCGCUCCCUCUAACCUGCCCAUGCCGGGGGGCACCAGCACCUUUAACCAGCAGGUUCGGGCCAAGGUGAGGGAGAUUGAAGAGCAGAUCAAAGAGAGAGGACAGGCUGUGGAGUUCCGCUGGUCUUUCGACAAGUGUCAGGAAACCACAGCAGGUUUCACCAUUAGCCGGGUUCUGCAUACAUUGGAGGUUUUGGAUAACCACAGCUUUGAAAAGUCUGACUUUAGCAAUUCCCUGGAUUCGCUGUAUAACCGGAUUUUUGGCUCGGGUCAGAGCAAAGAUGGACACGAGAUGAGUCCAGACGACGACGCAGUGGUGACCCUGCUGUGUGAGUGGGCUGUUUCCUGUAAAAGGUCAGGGCCGCACAGAGCCAUGGUGGUGGCCAAACUCCUGGAGAAGAGACAGACGGAGAUUGAGGCAGAGAGGUGUGGAGAGUCAGAGGUCGUAGAUGAGAAAGGCUCUGUGUCGUCAGGGUCUCUGUCUACUGCCACACUGCCUGUCUUCCAGGACGUCCUACUGCAGUUCCUGGACACUCAGGCCCCUGUGCUUACUGAGCCCGGGAACGAGAGCGAGCGAGUGGAGUUCUCUAAUCUCGUGCUGCUCUUCUGUGAGCUCAUCCGUCAUGAUGUCUUCUCACACAACAUCUACAUGUGCACCCUCAUCUCCCGGGGUGACCUGGCCUCUGAUUCCCAUCUGCCCCGCCCACGUUCCCCCAGCGACGAGCCCUCUGACGAAUCAGAGCGCAAAGACCAGGAUGCGGGAAGCAGUGUUAAAAUCGAGGAUACUGGUAUGUCGGAGUCAAUGGAGAUGGAUCACAACUCGAGUGCUAACUUUGACGAGCAGAUGUUCUCUCCUCCAAUGCACUGCGAGUCGAAGGGAAGCCCUUCCCCGGAGAAACCUGCAUCGGAGCAGGAGAGCAAAAACACUGCCAAGGAUAAGGGCAUGGACCCGGCCUUCCCUCUGGUUUACGAGCAGCCUCGCCACAUACAGUACGCCACCCACUUCCCCAUUCCUCAGGAGGAGAGCGCGAGUCAUGAGUGUAACCAGCGUCUGGUGGUUCUCUAUGGAGUAGGCAAGCAGCGAGAUGAAGCUCGCCACACCAUCAAGAAGAUCACCAAAGACAUCCUGAAGGUUCUCAACCGCAAGAGUACAGCAGAGACAGGAGGUGAGGAGAGCCAGAAGAGGAAGAGGAGUAAACCUGAGGCCUUCCCCACUGCUGAAGACAUUUUCUCUAAAUUCCAGCACCUCUCACACUUUGACCAGCACCAGGUCACCUCUCAGGUGUCCAGGAAUGUUCUGGAGCAGAUCACCAGCUUUGCCUUAGGGAUGUCCUAUCACCUCCCACUGGUCCAACACAUCCAGUUCAUCUUUGACCUCAUGGAGUACUCGCUCAAUAUAAGUGGCCUCAUUGACUUUGCGAUACAGCUGCUGAAUGAGUUGAGUCUGGUGGAAGCAGAACUCCUGCUGAAAUCCUCCAACCUGGCUGGCAGUUACACUACAGGUCUCUGUCUGUGCAUUGUGGCCGUGCUGCGGAGAUACCAUUCCUGCCUCAUCCUCAACCCUGACCAGACCGCACAGGUCUUUGAUGGGCUGCGAAUUGUAGUCAAGUCUGGCGUGAACCCUGCAGACUGUUCCUCAGCUGAACGCUGUAUCCUGGCCUAUCUCUACGACCUCUAUACCUCCUGCAGUCACCUAAAGAGCAAGUUUGGGGAGAUUUUCAGUGAGUUCUGCUCAAAGGUAAAGAACUCCAUCUAUUAUAACAUCGACCCAUCAGACUCUAACAUGCUGUGGGAUCAGAUGUUCAUGAUCGACGCCAUCGCUAAUCCUACCGCACACAAUCUCAACCACUCCAUGGUGGGAAAGAUCCUCAACGACAGCCCGGCUAACCGCUACAGCUUUGUGUGUAACGUGCUCAUGGACGUGUGCGUGGACCAUCGUGAUCCUGAGAGGGUGAAUGAUAUCGGUAUCCUGUGUGCGGAGCUGACGGCGUACUGUCGCUCUCUCAGCGCUGAGUGGUUGGGAGUGCUCAAGGCUCUCUGCUGCUCUUCCAACAACGGCAACUGCGGUUUUAACGAUCUACUCUGCAACGUUGACGUCAGUGAUCUUUCUUUCCAUGACUCGCUGGCGACAUUCGUCGCUAUCCUAAUAGCUCGGCAGUGUUUGUUGCUGGAGGAUCUGGUGCGCUGUGUGGCCAUCCCCUCCCUCCUGAACGCAGCCUGUAGUGAGCAGGAUUCUGAACCUGGAGCCAGACUGACCUGCAGGAUCCUGCUUCAUCUGUUCAGAACCCCACAGCGUAACCCCUGUCCACAAGACGGCACCAAAUCAGACAAAUCCACAGUGGGCAUCAGAUCAUCCUGCGACCGACACUUGCUGGCUGCGUCUCAGAACAGCAUUGUGGUGGGAGCCGUGUUUGCCGUGUUGAAGGCCGUUUUCAUGCUGGGAGAUGCCGAGCUGAAGGGUUCAGGCUUCUCCCAUCCCGCUGGAUUGGACGACAUUGGAGAGGAUGACAUGGGCUCCAAAAAAUCCGGAGGACGUAACGUCUCUAUUGAAACGGCCAGUCUGGUGGUUUACGCCAAGUAUGUGCUGAAGAGCAUCUGCCAGCAGGAGUGGGUUGGCGAGCGUUGUCUGAAGUCUCUGUCGGAGGACAGCAGUGCACUACAGGAUCCAGUGCUGGGGAACAUCCAGGCUCAGCGGUUACUGCAGCUCAUCUGUUACCCACACAGGCAGCUGGACAGCGAGGAGGGCGAGAAUCCUCAGAGACAGCGCAUCAAACGCAUCCUGCAGAACAUGGACCAGUGGACCAUGAGACAGUCCUCUCUCGAGCUACAGCUCAUGAUCAAGCAGUGCUCACCUAAUUCAAACUCAACUAAUGUAAGCUCAACUAAUGAGCUGUAUGCUCUUCAGGAAAACAUAGCCAAGGCCACCAUUGAAGUUUUCCAGAAGUCUGCUGAGAUGAACUCUAGUAACCCCACCUGGAAUGGCUCCGCUGUCUCUGGCAGCUCCGUCUCCAAUAGCAACAGCGCCAGCAAACUGAAACCUGUGCUCAGUUCCUCUGAGCGUUCAGGUGUCUGGUUAGUGGCCCCUCUGAUUGGUAAGCUGCACACCUCGGUGCAGGGUCACGUGCUGAAGGCUGCGGGUGAAGAGCUGGAGAAGGGACAGCACCUGGGACCCUCCUCACGAAAAGAAAGAGAUCGGCAGAAACAAAAAAGUAUGUCUCUCUUGAGCCAGCAACCCUUCCUGUCUCUGGUGCUGACGUGCCUCAAAGGACAAGAUGAGCAGAGGGAGGGUCUCCUGACUUCCCUCUACAGCCAAGUCCAGCAGAUUGUGACUAACUGGCGUGAGGACCAGUACCAGGACGACUGCAAAGCCAAGCAGAUGAUGCACGAGGCCUUGAAGCUGCGGCUCAAUCUGGUGGGCGGGAUGUUUGAUACGGUACAGCGUAGCACGCAGCAGACGACGGAGUGGGCGGUGCUUCUGCUGGACAUCAUCAGCAGUGGCACAGUGGACAUGCAGUCAAACAAUGAGCUCUUCACUACGGUGUUAGACAUGCUGAGCGUGUUGAUCAAUGGCACUCUGGCAGCUGACAUGUCCAGCAUCUCUCAGGGCAGUAUGGAGGAGAAUAAGAGGGCCUACAUGAACCUGGUCAAGAAGCUCAGGAAAGAACUCGGUGACCGUCAGUCCGAGAGCUUGGAGAAAGUGCGGCAGUUGCUGCCUCUGCCCAAGCAGACGCGUGAUGUCAUCACCUGUGAGCCCCAGGGAUCGCUCAUUGACACAAAGGGCAACAAAAUUGCUGGAUUUGAAAAAGAGGGUCUUCAGGUGUCGACUAAGCAGAAGAUUUCUCCAUGGGACGUGUUUGAGGGGCUGAAGCACUCGGCUCCGCUCUCCUGGGGCUGGUUCGGAACCGUGCGGGUCGACCGCAAAGUCACAAAGUUUGAGGAACAGCAGCGGCUCCUGCUUUACCACACCCACAUAAAGCCCAAACAACGCAGUUACUAUCUGGCGCCCCUCAACCUGCCCCAAGAGGAGGAGGAGCCACCUACACCUGUCGCUCCUGAGCCAGACAAGAAGGUGGAUCAAGGGAAGCCGGAGAAGAGCGUCUCCAGUGUCUCAAAUGACCCCAGUAAGAAGAAGAAGAAAAAGAAACAGACAUCCGCAAAUAAACAAGAGGACUACAAGCCACACAACCCAGCAGUCAUGCAGUUCCCGCAAGGCAUGGCCCCUGAUCUUAUGAACAUGGGCCAAUCGAACAUGCCUUUUCAGAUAUCCUACCCGCGUCCUAUGAUAUAUGCCCAAAACCAGCCUCUACCACCAGGAGGCCCCGGUUUGGAGCCCCCUUUCCGUCCCAGGACUCCUAUGAACAAAAUUCCUCCACGUCCCAAUUAUAUACAGGCUGCUAGCAUGGGCAACAUGAUGGGAAUGGACAAGCCAUACCAAAUGAACUAUAAACCCCCACCCAGCAUGCCUCAGGGGCAGAUUCUCCGUCAUCAGCUACAGGUCAGACUGGGGAAUCAUAAUCAUUUAAUGGGACAGCAGAUUAGACCAGUGGCACCUAAUCAACAGUAUUCAUCAAUGCAGCCGACACAGAACAUUUCCCAGGGAUACACACCCUACGGUCCACAUAUGGGGAUUCAGCCACACCCCUCUCAGACCGCUGGAAUUGUUUCUAGCUCAUACAGUAACCAGGGCUUCGGAGGAGGACAUCCUGGCCCAAACCCAGGCAUGGUGGAUUCUCUUAGACAAAUGCAGCAGAGGCCGAGCGGCUAUGUCCAUCAGCAGGCUUCUGGAGCAUACGGACACACAAUGCAGAACACUCAAAGAUUCUCCCAUCAGCCCAUGCAGCAGGCACCUAUGAUGCACGGCCUGGCUCAAGGUCACAUGGCACCCCAGGGCAUGCACCCCAACAUGAGGCCCAAUCAGAUGAUGGACCAGCAGCAGCAGCAACAACAGCCGAUGAUAAGACAGCAUCCAGCUCUCCGACAGCAGCAGCAGCAGCAGGUUCAACAACAAGUGCAGCAGCAGCAGCAGGUCCAGCAGCAGCAGGUUCAGCCUCAGCAGGUGCCGCAGCAGCAGGUUCAGCAGCAGGUGGCAGCAGCUCAGCCCCCCGCCCAGGCCCUGGGCAUGCAGCCUCUGCCGCCGCAGCAGCCCAUGUUCCCACGUCAAGGCAUGCAGCAAACCCAGCAGCAGCAGCAGACUGCAGCACUGGUCCGACAGCUCCAGCAGCAGCUCUCAAUGUAAGACAUUGUGCUGGGCCAGUGUUGCCACCUGGUGGACCAACUGAUCAGUGCAAAAAAAAUAAGAUACUCAACCUGGACAGAACACCAACUCAUAUUACUGAGAAUGUCUGAAUGAAUUUCAGCGGUGGUAAAGAAUAGUUUUGUGUCCGCUCAAGCGACGAGGACCCCUGCACCUGAAGGAAGCCCACAGGGCUGUAUCUAAAGUAGAUUGUUUUUCAGACAUACAUUUCUGAAAGUCAUAGAGGCGUCGUUCUGUGAAACAUUGAGGUGAACAAUGAAAGAGUUUAUGUAAAAAGAAGUACAGGAAAUUAUAAGAAAUAUUGCAACUUUUUUUAUUUUAUUUCAAUUUGUACAAUUUUUCAGUUUUGUGUAUUUCUCAUUAAAAAAAAUCAUGUCACUUUUUA